ACUCAGAGACUUUGACAGUAAAAUAAUAAAUGUUGGAUUAGCACUCACCCUGCCUCAGCCUUCAGUUUCCUCCUCCUGCUCUGUUCUCUUCACACUUCCGUUAAUUGUUGUGUGGUUUGUGUUGUAUAUUCUUCAUCUUCAGUUUCUUCAAACAGUCCAAAAUGUCGACGUAGAACAACUCAGGUGAGUUGUUUUUUCUGAUGAGUCACAGCUCCACCUGUCAGGAAGCAGACUUUCACAAUAAGAACUUUGUUUCUUCUCUCUGUGUAACUGUGGUUGUUGUCAGUGUUUCCACACGUCUAUGGCGGUUAGCU